UUACGGCCACAUCACGCUGAAAACAGCGAUUCCCGUACGAUCAUCGAAGUUAAGCAACGUUGAGCCUGGUCAGUACCUAGAUGGGUGAUCGCCUGGGAAUAAUGU